GUUCUUGUAGUUGAGCACAACGGUAGUUUUUCAGACUACAGUCCUUGGGUGAGAGCCAAGUAAGAACU
rnacentral:tRNA from 1 species